AUUGAACGCUGGCGGCAUGCAUAACACAUGCAAGUCGAGCGGAGCGGCGGACGGGUGCGUAAUGCCUAGGAAUCUGCCUGGUAGUGGGGGAUAACGUCCGGACACGGGCGCUAAUACCGCAUACUAUCAGAUGAGCCUAGGUCGGAGUAGCUAGUUGGUGGGGUAAAGGCCUACAAAGGCGACGAGCCGUAACUGGUCUGAGAGAAUGAGCAGUCACACUGGAACUGAGACACGGUCCAGACGCCUACGGGAGGCAGCGUUGGGGAAUAUUGGACAAGGGGCGAAAGCCUGAUCCAGCCAGGCCGCGUGUGUGAAGAAGGUCUUCGGAUUGUAAAGCACUUUAAGUUGGGAGGCGUUACCAACAGAAUAAGCACCGGCUAACUUCGUGCCAGCCGCCGCGGUAAUUC
rnacentral:rRNA from 1 species